GCCUUCGUAGUGUAGUGGUCAGCACGCUGGGCGCGUAUUCCAGAGGUCCGUGGUUCGAUUCCUGGCGAAGGCG
rnacentral:tRNA from 1 species